GUCCGUCGGCCGCCGUACCUCCUGCACAGCCAGGACGGGGGUGGGGGACCCAUCUCGGCGCCCGGCCGCACCGGCCGCGCGUCUCGGGGUGAAGCCGUGCGUGCACGGCCGGGGCACCGAUCGCCCCGAACCCGACAGCUCACCUCGCAGGCGGCGGAUCGGGAGU
rnacentral:sRNA from 1 species